UAAGGUCUAUUUUGUUGCAUCCGAAGAUAUGGAUUCUUUUACUUUUGGAGCACCCAAAUUUCUUCGUCAUUUAAUGGACCCGAGCUCAAGAAAGACCCCUGUGAUGGAGUUUGAUGUUUCAAAGGUUUUGGAGGAACUUAACCUGACAUUGGAUCAAUUUAUUGAUUUGUGCAUUCUAUGUGGGUGUGAUUAUUGUGACAGCAUUAAAGGUAUCGGUGGUCAGACAGCUUUGAAGCUUAUCCGUCAACAUGAUUCAA